CCUACGGGAGGCAGCAGUGGGGAAUAUUGCACAAUGGACGAAAGCCUGAUGCAGCGACGCCGCGUGAGGGAUGAAGGCCUUCGGGUUGUAAACCUCUUUUCCAGGGAAGAAGCGAGAGUGACGGUACCUGGAGAAGAAGCACCGGCUAACCAGCAGCCGCGGUAAU
rnacentral:rRNA from 1 species